rnacentral:tRNA from 1 species
UCUCUCGUAGUCGUCAGAGCAUUGGUGCGUGAAGCCAAAGAUUCCGGGUUCGAUUCCCGGCGAGGGUG